UGCAGUGAUGGUGUAAUUUGCGUCUGACCCUGAGCCCAGCGACAGUUUGCCUGCUGUCACCAUGCUGGCUCAGAGGGCUGACGAAUACCGAGUCUGAGCA
ensembl:snoRNA SNORD16 Small nucleolar RNA SNORD16